CCCCCACCAGCCCAAGCCGCUGCUGGGCGAUCCGCUUGAUCUGGGUGCGAUCCUUGUCCUGCGGAUAGGUCCUGUAGACAUCGAUCAGCGCAGAAAUGUCCUGCACCACCGCGGCGGAUAGGCGCCGCGUCACCGUGUUCCAGUGCCGCUCCAUGAAUUGCAGGAUCACCAUCGGCACGAUGAUGAUCAGCAGUGCGCGGGCAUAAAGCCCCUUCGG
rnacentral:misc_RNA from 1 species